rnacentral:rRNA from 1 species
GAUGAACGCUGGCGGCGUGCCUAAUACAUGCAAGUCGAGCGAACAGACGAGGAGCUUGCUCCUCUGACGUUAGCGGCGGACGGGUGAGUAACACGUGGAUAACCUACCUAUAAGACUGGGAUAACUUCGGGAAACCGGAGCUAAUACCGGAUAAUAUAUUGAACCGCAUGGUUCAAUAGUGAAAGACGGUUUUGCUGUCACUUAUAGAUGGAUCCGCGCCGCAUUAGCUAGUUGGUAAGGUAACGGCUUACCAAGGCAACGAUGCGUAGCCGACCUGAGAGGGUGAUCGGCCACACUGGAACUGAGACACGGUCCAGACUCCUACGGGAGGCAGCAGUAGGGAAUCUUCCGCAAUGGGCGAAAGCUUGACGGAGCAACGCCGCGUGAGUGAUGGAGGUCUUCGGAUCGUAAAACUCUGUUAUUAGGGAAGAACAAAUGUGUAAGUAACUAUGCACGUCUUGACGGUACCUAAUCAGAAAGCCACGGCUAACUACGU